rnacentral:rRNA from 1 species
GGAUUAGAAACCCGGGUAGUCCACGCCCUAAACGAUGAUGACUCGGUGUCGGCGAUAGAAUGCCGGCGCCCAAGCGAAAGCGUUAAGUCAUCCACCUGGGGAGUACGCCCGCAAGGGUGAAACUCAAAGGAAUUGACGGGGGCCCGCACAAGCGGAGGAGCAUGUGGUUUAAUUCGAUGAUACGCGAGGAACCUUACCCGGGCUUGAAAGUUAGCGACGGCGCCAGAGAUGGCGCUUCCCUUCGGGGCGCGAAACUAGGUGCUGCAUGGCUGUCGUCAGCUCGUGCCGUGAGGUGUUGGGUUAAGCCCCGCAACGAGCGCAACCCCUAUGAAUAGUUGCCAGCAUGUAAUGGUGGGGACUCUAUUCAGACUGCCUGUGCAAACAGUGAGGAAGG